rnacentral:rRNA from 1 species
GCUACCUGACCUAGCGGCGGACGGGUGAGUAAUGCUUAGGAAUCUGCCUAUUAGUGGGGGACAACAUCUCGAAAGGGAUGCUAAUACCGCAUACGUCCUACGGGAGAAAGCAGGGGACCUUCGGGCCUUGCGCUAAUAGAUGAGCCUAAGUCGGAUUAGCUAGUUGGUGGGGUAAAGGCCUACCAAGGCGACGAUCUGUAGCGGGUCUGAGAGGAUGAUCCGCCACACUGGGACUGAGACACGGCCCAGACUCCUACGGGAGGCAGCAGUGGGGAAUAUUGGACAAUGGGGGGAACCCUGAUCCAGCCAUGCCGCGUGUGUGAAGAAGGCCUUUUGGUUGUAAAGCACUUUAAGCGAGGAGGAGGCUACCGAGAUUAAUACUCUUGGAUAGUGGACGUUACUCGCAGAAUAAGCACCGGCUAACUCUGUGCCAGCAGCCGCGGUAAUACAGAGGGUGCAAGCGUUAAUCGGAUUUACUGGGCGUAAAGCGCGCGUAGGUGGCCAAUUAAGUCAAAUGUGAAAUCCCCGAGCUUAACUUGGGAAUUGCAUUCGAUACUGGUUGGCUAGAGUAU